ACGUCGGGAUCUCAGGCCUGUUGCGUGAACGUCUCUUGCACGAACGCGUCUUCCGCGACGUCGACGGCGACCGAAGGGCAGACGGAUAGUACCUCCGGCGGCUUGGUAACCUAAGGAUGGGUCAGCAAGAGGUAACGCUGAGCGCCCCGUCCCUCGCCGUGGCCCUGGGGGUGACGCUGACCCUGGGCUUCGUGUGCGGGUACCAGUUCAAGGCCUGGAGGAUAGAGUGGCUGAAGCGGAGGCGGGAGAGGCUGCAGAGGAAGAUCCAGCAGACGCAGGCGGAGAUCGACCUGCUGCAGAAGGGGCACUGAGGGUGCCUUCCUCACACUGUCUGCUGCCAUCCAUCAUAUAAAUAGCUUUGUUAAUUCUGUAUCGCAAAGUAGAAAGCAAUUGACAUAGAACCUAAUUUAACAAAACUGAACAUUAGUGCCACAUUUCUAACUGAACUCAGGGCUUUGGUGAAGAAUAUUUUAUAGGUGGAAACAUAUUCAUUAAAAUAGAAUUUUGACAAUACAUAAUAAAAUCUUGCACAAUUAAAUAUCAUUGGUAGUCAGUGUGAAGAGGAUCUACAGUCCAGCUACCCAAGAGGUUGUGAAAUAUUAUGGCAGCUGGAGCAUUGGCCUCUCAAUUCUGGAACUGUGAGGGAACAGUACAAGUUGUAUUCUGGGGUGUGACAUACGUGACAUGUAAUACCUGGGAACAUCUGGAAAACAAAGUGCAUCUAACCAUGAAGAAUCAAGAAUUAUUAACCAAUGGUGCUAUUAUGGUGUCCUUGAAGUGUUGUUCUAAGUUUUAUAAAUCAGAAACAGGGUUCAGUCUAUACUAAAGAACAGGAUGGAGGAGCUAACCCAGGGGGUGAAUUGACAAAUAAUUAUAGUUCCAAAUUAGUUGACAAUAUUUAUAUACAUGAAGAAUAAAAUUUUGUAUGGCAUUUUGUAUUUCUUUGUAUAUAUAGGAUUCUAUAUGAUCAAGUAUAGAUUUGAGUAAAUUCA
rnacentral:lncRNA from 1 species